GUGAGGAAUUUUCCGCAAUGGGCGAAAGCCUGACGGAGCAAUGCCGCGUGAAGGAUGAAGGCCUAUGGGUUGUAAACUUCUUUUCUCAGAAAAGAAUUAUGACGGUAUCUGAGGAAUAAGCAUCGGCUAACUCUGUGCCAGCAGCCGCGGUAAGACAGAGGAUGCAAGCGUUAUCCGGAAUGAUUGGGCGUAAAGCGUCUGUAGGUUGUUUAAAAAGUAUUCUGUCAAAGAUUAGGGCUUAACCCUAGAUAGGCAGAAUAAACUUUUAAGCUAGAGUUUGGUAGAGGCAGAGAGAAUUCCCGGUGGAGCGGUGAAAUGCGUAGAUAUCGGGAGGAACACCAAAGGCGAAGGCACUCUGCUGGGCCAAUACUAACACUGAGAGACGAAAGCGAGGGGAGCAAAUGGGAUUAGAUACCCGUGUAGUCC
rnacentral:rRNA from 1 species